AUGUAUUACGGUACUGACCGAGGCGAUGGUGUUGAUGUAUUACAGUACUGACCGAGGCGAUGGUGUUGAUGUAUUACAGUACUGACCGAGGCGAUGGUGUUGAUGUAUUACAGUACUGACCGAGGCGAUGGUGUUGAUGUAUUACGGUACCGACCGAGGCUAUGGUGUUGAUGUAUUACAGUACUGACCGAGGCGAUGGUGUUGAUGUAUUACAGUACUGACCGAGGCGAUGGUGUUGAUGUAUUACAGUACUGACCGAGGCUAUGGUGUUGAUGUAUUACGGUACUGACCGAGGCGAUGGUGUUGAUGUAUUACAGUACUGACCGAGGCGAUGGUGUUGAUGUAUUACAGUACUGACCGAGGCGAUGGUGUUGAUGUAUUACGGUACUGACCGAGGUGAUGAUGUUGAUGUAUUACAGUACUGACCGAGGCGAUGGUGUUGAUGUAUUACGGUACUGACCGAGGCGAUGGUGUUGAUGUAUUACGGUACUGACCGAGGUGAUGGUGUUGAUGUAUUACGGUACUGACCGAGGCGAUGGUGUUGAUGUAUUACAGUACUGACCGAGGCGAUGGUGUUGAUGUAUUACAGUACUGACCGAGGCGAUGGUGUUGAUGUAUUACAGUACUGACCGAGGCGAUGGUGUUGAUGUAUUACGGUACUGACCGAGGCGAUGGUGUUGAUGUAUUACAGUACUAACCGAGGUGAUGGUGUUGAUGUAUUACGGUACUGACCAAGGCGAUGGUGUUGAUGUAUUACAGUACUAACCGAGGUGAUGGUGUUGAUGUAUUACGGUACUGACCGAGGCGAUGGUGUUGAUGUAUUACAGUACUGACCGAGGCGAUGGUGUUGAUGUAUUACAGUACUGACCGAGGCGAUGGUGUUGAUGUAUUACAGUACUGACCGAGGCGAUGGUGUUGAUGUAUUACAGUACUGACCGAGGCGAUGGUGUUGAUGUAUUACGGUACUGACCGAGGCGAUGGUGUUGAUGUAUUACAGUACUGACCGAGGCGAUGGUGUUGAUGUAUUACGGUACAGACCGAGGCGAUGGUGUUGAUGUA